AUGAUGUUGUUGCACAGACAUCGAUGGCGACAACAUGUGUUUGUGAUUUUCGCGAUGCACCGUCCUCAACAUACUAAGCCCUAUGGAAGGGGAGAUUUGGAGGUACCUGGUCAGAUCUUGGUCAGCCUUCAAAUCCCAGAUGUGGAGACUGCAGGGAUACCUCACAGAGAAGACACUAAAGAUUCAACUCUCAUUCAUCGAGUGGACUCAUUGGUUUGCGAAUUACCACAAAGAUGCUCCCAUAGGCAGAUUGCUGCAUGGCAUGCACCGCUUAUUCAAAUUGAAGAGGUUGAAGCAGUCUUCCUUGUGGUCACUUGCCAUAACAAUGUCAUGUGUUUUAUGAAAACACCAUCAGUAACAUUUAAAUUGAGUUAAUGUGGACGGCUCUUUUUUUUGUCCGAUUUCUUCAGUGUUCAGUGCCUGUUUGUGAGAUAUGCAUUGUUUGAAAGAUAAGCCUUUGAUUUUGUUUAAUUUUAAUAUGCCUUUCAUCAACAGUGGUUUGGGGUUUUAUAACAACAAUUAAAGUGCUUAACUACUGGUGAACGAUGUUGCAGAACAUAUAUGGUUUGUGUUGAUUGCAGGGAAAAGGGAAUAACCAGUUACAACUUAUAUGGUAAGAGCCUGGUAAUACCAUGGAAACAAACUAGGCUUCCUUUUACAGUACAGUUUCACCUUACUUACUGGGUAAAUUGUCGUGUUUUACUUGGUAACGUCGCAGAACGUACAUGGUACAAGUCUGUGUUGACUGCAUGUAAAAGGGAAUAAUGUAUUACAAAUUAUAUGGUAAGAACCUGGUAAUACCAAGGAAAUAAACGAGGAUUCCUUUUACAGUACAGUUUCAGCUUAAUUACUGGGUAAAUUGUCGUGUUUUACUUGGUAACGUCGCAGAACGUACAUGGUACAAGUUUGUGUUGACUGCAUAGAAAAGGGAAUAAUGUAUUACAAAUUAUAUGGUAAGAACCUGGUAAUACCAUGGAAACAAACGAGGCUUCCUUUUACAGUACAGUUUUAACUUAAUUACUGGGUAAUUUGUCGUGUUUUACUUGGUAACGUCGCAGAACGUACAUGGUACAAGUUUGUGUUGAUUGCAUGGAAAAGAGAAUAAUGUAUUAGAAAUUAUAUGGUAAGAACCUGGUAAUACCAUGGAAACAAACGAGGCUUCCUUUUACAGUACAGUUUCAGCUUAAUUACUGGGUAAAUUGUCGUGUUUUACUUGGUAACGUCGCAGAACGUACAUGGUACAAGUUUGUGUUGACUGCAUAGAAAAGGGAAUAAUGUAUUACAAAUUAUAUGGUAAGAACCUGGUAAUACCAUGGAAACAAACGAGGCUUCCUUUUACAGUACAGUUUCAGCUUAAUUACUGGGUAAUUUGUCGUGUUUUACUUGGUAACGUCGCAGAACGUACAUGGUACAAGUUUGUGUUGAUUGCAUGGAAAAGAGAAUAAUGUAUUACAAAUUAUAUGGUAAGAACCUGGUAAUACCAUGGAAACAAACGAGGCUUCCUUUUACAGUACAGUUUCAGCUUAAUUACUGGGUAAAUUGUCGUGUUUUACUUGGUAACGUCGCAGAACGUACAUGGUACAAGUUUGUGUUGACUGCAUGGAAAAGGGAAUAAUGUCUUAAAAAUUAUAUGGUAAGAACCUGGUAAUACCAUGGAAACAAACGAGGCUUCCUUUUACAGUACAGUUUCAGCUUGAUUACUGGGUAAAUUGUCGUGUUUUACUUGGUAACGUCGCAGAACGUACAUGGUAAAAGUUUGUGUUGACUAGAUGGAAAAGGGAAUAAUGUAUGACAAAUUAUAUGGUAAGAACAUGGUAAUACUAUGGAAACAAACGAGGCUUCCUUUUACAGUACAGUUUCAGCUUAAUUACUGGGUAAAUUGUCGUGUUUUACUUGGUAACGUCGCAGAACGUACAUGGUACAAGUUUGUGUUGACUGCAUGGAUAAU
ensembl:lncRNA